rnacentral:pre_miRNA from 1 species
UUUAAGUGCAGUUGUGGGUUUUUAUAUCCAAUGUUUAAUUGUUCGUUUUAUUUGAUUUUUUAUGAUUAGUAUUUUUGUCGUUAUUAGAUGACAAAACAUGAAUAAUUAAUACUUUAUACGUGACUUAUUUUUUAAAAUUUUUUAUAAAUAUUUGAAAUAAGAUAGUCAAACGUUGAAUAAAAAAACCACGACGGCCUUUAAA